AACGUAGGGGGCAAGCGUUGUUCGGAAUUACUGGGCGUAAAGCGCGUGUAGGCGGCUUGGCAAGUCGGAAGUGAAAGCCCUCGGCUCAACCGGGGAACUGCUUUCGAAACUGCCAGGCUUGAGUGCGGGAGGGGAGAGCGGAAUUCCCGGUGUAGCGGUGAAAUGCGUAGAUAUCGGGAAGAACACCGGUGGCGAAGGCGGCUCUCUGGACCGCUACUGACGCUGGGACGCGAAAGCGUGGGGAGCAAACAGG
rnacentral:rRNA from 1 species